AGGAAAAGAAACUAACAAGGAUUCCCCUAGUAACGGCGAGUGAGCGGGAUGAGCUCAAAUUUAAAAUCUGGCGGCCUCAGGUCGUCCGAGUUGUAGUCUAGAGAAUCGUUUUCCGCGUUGGCCUGUGUACAAGUCCCUUGGAACAGGGCGUCAUAGAGGGUGAGAAUCCCGUCCUUGACACAGACUACCAAUGCUUUGUGAUGCGAUCUCGAAGAGUCGAGUUGUUUGGGAAUGCAGCUCAAAAUGGGUGGUAAAUUCCAUCUAAAGCUAAAUAUUGGCGAGAGACCGAUAGCGAACAAGUACCGUGAGGGAAAGAUGAAAAGCACUUUGGAAAGAGAGUUAAACAGUACGUGAAAUUGUUAAAAGGGAAACGAUUGAAGUCAGUCAUGCUUUCCGAGACUCAGCCGAUUCUGUCGGUGUACUUCUCGGUUGGCAGGCCAGCAUCAGUUUCGAUCUGUGGAAAAGGUUGGAGGGAACGUGGCAUCCUCGGAUGUGUUAUAGCCCUUCUUCGAAUACAUAGAGCGGGACUGAGGAACGCAGCGCGCCUUUUAUUAGGUUGGCCCUCGGGUACAUACGCGCUUAGGAUGCUGGCAUAAUGGCUUUAAACGACCC
rnacentral:rRNA from 1 species